USCAGSGCAUACUGGUUUCYUUGAGUACGCACAACGUUGGCGGAAUUCGUCGUGUAGCGGUGAAAUGCUUAGAUAUGACGAAGAACUCCGAUUGCGAAGGCAGCUGACGGGAGCGCAACUGACGCUUAAGCUCGAAGGUGCGGGUAUCAAACAGGAUUAGAUACCCUGGUAGUCCGCACAGUAAACGAUGGAUGCCCGCUGUUGGUACCUGGUAUCAGCGGCUAAGCGAAAGCAUUAAGCAUCCCACCUGGGGAGUACGCCGGCAACGGUGAAACUCAAAGGAAUUGACGGGGGCCCGCACAAGCGGAGGAACAUGUGGUUUAAUUCGAUGAUACGCGAGGAACCUUACCCGGGCUUGAA
rnacentral:rRNA from 1 species